rnacentral:lncRNA from 1 species
AAGUCCUAUUGUAGCAGAAGGUUCUGCUAUUAAAAAAAAUAAAAAUAAAAAUAAAAAAUAAAAAUAAAAAACCUGGCUUCUGCUGAAAUAGAGCCUCCACCAAUAGAAAAAACUCCCAGCUGAAAUACAUGCUCCAUUAGCCGAAGAGGCUACUGAUUAAGCAGAGCUCAAACCUGCUGGGGAGACCCAUGCCGAAGUUCAGGCACCAACUGAACAGACUCCUGCUGCUGAGGCAGCCACUACAAUUGCAGAGGCCUCUGUUAAAGUUCAGCCUCCACCAGCUGAAGAGGCUUCAUUAGCAAAGUUUCCUGCUGAAAUUCAGCCUCCAGCU